UCCACUGCAGGAUGGUCACAUGAGGCUGCUUCAGUGUCCAUGCAGGAAACACAAAGCAUGAAAUUUCCGAUUCUUCCUACUGAGGCCCCCAAUCGCCAUAUGUGACCCGCCACCCCAUCUCUGAGCAUGAGGUCACCCUGAGGUGCUGGGCCCUGGGCUUCUACCCUGCGGACAUCACCCUGAUCUGGCAGCGAGAUGGGGAGGACCUGGCCCAGGAAACGAAGCUGGAUUAAAAGAUUCCAUUAGGUCUUCUGACCUGGCUGCUCCCUGGUCUCACAUGAUGCUUCUUCCCAUGGGAGGACAAGGGGGAAACUACACUCAGGUUGCAAGUAAGUGUGUUCAAGGGUUGGAUCCCUGAGCCCCUGGGGACAAUGAAGAUGGAGCCCAUGGGGGAGUCACUCUCAUCAGUUCCUCCCGUGGUCUCAUCUCUGACCAAGUUUUGUUGUGUUCUCCCCCAGGCAGCCACAGUCCCAGUGCUCUGAAGUGUAUCUUAGUCCCUAUAGGUGAGACCCUUGAGGCCUGCCGUGGGGAUGGGGUUUGAGGCAGAGAGCCUGGGUCUAGGUGAUGGGGAUGCUUUCAGGAGGACAUCUUGAGAAUGCAGUGGACCAUUAUAUUGUUAACACUCAGGGGCAGGACCAAUGUGCUAUCCAAAGAAAAGAGAGGUUCCAGGUUACCGCCCUGCCCAAGGAAAUAUAGAGCUGAGCAGGGAUGAGAAGCUAAGGAAGAGGAGGAAGACGUGGAGUAAGAUGAGGAAAGAAGACUGGAGGAGGCGCAUGGAGAAGAGAGACAUGUGAAGAAGAAGCCAGGCUUCCUCCUUAGACUUGGACUUGUUCCAGGGAGUUGGGGACAUGGAAAGAGACACGUGAAAGAGACACAUGAAAGAGACAAAGACGUGGGUGAGGGACCCAUGGGGAGGCUGACAAUGGCAGCUGUUAUCUUGAUGUGGAUUUUGAUUUUGCUUUUAUCCUUCCAGACUUUCCUGGCCCCUCCUGCACCUUUCCCAUGGGUCUCUACCAGUAGGUGCCUUAGAUUUGUGGCAGGCCUUCAGGCCUCAGCUGGGCGUUUACCCAUGAGGGGUGGGUGACUUUGGGUGCUUCACGUGGGAAAUUUUCUAACUAUAUUCUUUCUCUUUUCUCUCUCUAUUGCACACUGAUUCUCUAUUAUAUACUAACUGU